rnacentral:rRNA from 1 species
GAUGAACGCUGGCGGCGUGCCUAAUACAUGCAAGUCGAGCGAACGGACGAGAAGCUUGCUUCUCUGAUGUUAGCGGCGGACGGGUGAGUAACACGUGGAUAACCUACCUAUAAGACUGGGAUAACUUCGGGAAACCGGAGCUAAUACCGGAUAAUAUUUUGAACCGCAUGGUUCAAAAGUGAAAGACGGUCUUGCUGUCACUUAUAGAUGGAUCCGCGCUGCAUUAGCUAGUUGGUAAGGUAACGGCUUACCAAGGCAACGAUGCAUAGCCGACCUGAGAGGGUGAUCGGCCACACUGGAACUGAGACACGGUCCAGACUCCUACGGGAGGCAGCAGUAGGGAAUCUUCCGCAAUGGGCGAAAGCCUGACGGAGCAACGCCGCGUGAGUGAUGAAGGUCUUCGGAUCGUAAAACUCUGUUAUUAGGGAAGAACAUAUGUGUAAGUAACUGUGCACAUCUUGACGGUACCUAAUCAGAAAGCCACGGCUAACUACGUGCCAGCAGCCGCGGUAAUACGUAGGUGGCAAGCGUUAUCCGGAAUUAUUGGGCGUAAAGCGCGCGUAGGCGGUUUUUUAAGUCUGAUGUGAAAGCCCACGGCUCAACCGUGGAGGGUCAUUGGAAACUGGAAAACUUGAGUGCAGAAGAGGAAAGUGGAAUUCCAUGUGUAGCGGUGAAAUGCGCAGAGAUAUGGAGGAACACCAGUGGCGAAGGCGACUUUCUGGUCUGUAACUGACGCUGAUGUGCGAAAGCGUGGGGAUCAAACAGGAUUAGAUACCCUGGUAGUCCACGCCGUAAACGAUGAGUGCUAAGUGUUAGGGGGUUUCCGCCCCUUAGUGCUGCAGCUAACGCAUUAAGCACUCCGCCUGGGGAGUACGACCGCAAGGUUGAAACUCAAGGGAAUUGACGGGGACCCGCACAAGCGGUGGAGCAUGUGGUUUAAUUCGAAGCAACGCGAAGAACCUUACCAAAUCUUGACAUCCUUUGACAACUCUAGAGAUAGAGCCUUCCCCUUCGGGGGACAAAGUGACAGGUGGUGCAUGGUUGUCGUCAGCUCGUGUCGUGAGAUGUUGGGUUAAGUCCCGCAACGAGCGCAACCCUUAAGCUUAGUUGCCAUCAUUAAGUUGGGCACUCUAAGUUGACUGCCGGUGACAAACCGGAGGAAGGUGGGGAUGACGUCAAAUCAUCAUGCCCCUUAUGAUUUGGGCUACACACGUGCUACAAUGGACAAUACAAAGGGCAGCGAAACCGCGAGGUCAAGCAAAUCCCAUAAAGUUGUUCUCAGUUCGGAUUGUAGUCUGCAACUCGACUACAUGAAGCUGGAAUCGCUGGUAAUCGUAGAUCAGCAUGCUACGGUGAAUACGUUCUCGGGUCU